rnacentral:tmRNA from 1 species
GGGGCCGACUUGGAUUUGACUGCAAUAGCGGUAGAUGUACAAGCAUGUCGAGUAAUGCACCUGUUCUCGUUAAACACUAGUGUAUCAAGAAUAAUUGACAACAAUAAUUCUUACGCGUUAGCUGCGUAAUCUGACUCAGUUAGAUUAUACUUAAUUCCACCCGAAUAAUAGUAAGGGGAACUAACUGUUCACUAAAACCCCGCCUGAUGGUUUUGGAUCAUGAACAUCAUGAAUUGGGAUAGCUCUGGCAGGGUUGUGAUGUCAGUGUGAAACUAAUCGCAACUUAAGCUUUAGUUAGGGUGUUUGUGCUCAGCCUAAAGUCUAAAAAUUAAUCACAAAAUAAACAUGUAGAAACUAUAUAGACCCGUUGUUAGGACGAGGGUUCGAUCCCCUCCGGCUCCAC